rnacentral:rRNA from 1 species
AUGUCUUCGCCGGCUGCUCUGCCCGCAGAUGAGAUACCCAUGGGUCUGGUGCGCCUCGGAAGGCAACAUCUGCAAUUGGACAACCACUUCUCCGAUACGUGCCGCCGGGACCGCUUCUGCCUGCGCUGCAACGUGGCUUACUGCUCCCACUGCUGCGGCAAUCACCACUUUCACCCGGAGUGGCCGGACCUCCGGGUCCUCCCCAUCGACCUUGACACCGAAGGCCGGCCCAUAUUCCCAACCCGGACGGCGCCGGCGCCGGACGGGUACCCGAUACCGCCGGAUGUAGCCAAGUUCAUGAGGGCGCAGGACUACACCUCGCCGUUACCAAGGGAUGCCUUCUGCAUUCACUGUUCCAAGUCCUUCCGCGCCGACGUCUGCGCCCACCACGGCGACCACGCGCGCCUCCGGGACUGCGUGCUCCGCAUCGAGAAGCGCGGCUGGAGGAUCUGCAUCAGGUGCGUGGGCAACGAGUGGUGGGUGCCCCACAUCGGCAUAGCGCUCGGAGAUCCGGUGCACGUGGACGAGCAGGGGCGGUACGAGCUUCUCCCAGUGCUGACGCGGGUACGGGGUCCGUGCGUGGGGUGUGGCAUCGGCGCCCAUCGGAUUCCACGCGAGUUCUUCCCGUUCUGCUCCGAGACUUGCACCCGCAAACACAUUCGCCGCAUUGAAGAACGCCGGGAGGCCAGGCUCGCCGCUCGGCGCUUGUAG